AGCUGAGAAUUGGGGGUAUGUAUAUAAAAGGUUUAUCUAUUUGACUUUUUAACUAUAUUUCAUCUAACCUGUCCUGUACAUGUGGUAUCCAUCCAAACAGGACAUUUGCCACUGCAAAGGGAUGCCAGGGACCAUGGGACAUUUGCACAAGGGAGCAUGCCAUUCAGAGAGAUUGCAUUUCUUGUGGCAUCUUUACAGCUGUGUUUGCAGAGGCCUUUCUUCGUGGGGACCAGGGGUAUAUUAACUGCCCUUCAAUUCAUGAGGAAAGAGAAAGACUAGCGCUUCUACUCUUCACUUCACUUGGUAGGUACAAUACAGGUUUAUACCUAUAGUUUUCUGUUGGUUUGAGUUAUAAAACUAUAACUACAACAAGUGUUUCUUGCUUUCUUUAGAAAGGUCAAGCAUUUGUGGUGUCUGCCAUAAGGCUGUUGCUAAGAGCAAGGCAAGUUGUUUUUCAAGUCUCAAAUGAUGUUUCAUAAGAAAGAAAUGUACCUCCGUAAAUUAGUCUCUUCUAACCAACAUGUAGACCAAAUGUUCAAAAUGUGGAUUGAGCGUACAUGAGAAAUGUGUGCAAAACGAUCAGGAGACUGCUCUUUGUUUUCUGUGCAAAGUGAAACAACAUCAGAACAUAAAGAAAACAAACAAGCAGAUAUCUAGUCUCUUCAAGUGAGUUACAGAGGAGAUGCUCACCACUUGAGUGUUACUCCAGCAACACUGUGGUUUCGUAUUUGCGCAAAGCAAAGGCACAGAAAAAAUUGAGGAAAAGCUGACUGGCAUGGGUGUGCAGCCCACCAAGCAAACCAAACUGACUUCACUGUGCACUAAACUGUGUGAAGAUGAAUGCAGUGAGCUGGUCGAUGAUGUUAUGUUCCUGGCAGCCAAGUUUACGCCACAAAAGAAAGUGGUCCAGGAAAUGUCUGAAAAUGAGUAUGUUCAUGAUGCAAUUUACAAAACUGAAGCCUGCAGGAAGACCUUACAAACACUUUUAACCACCUUAAGGGGCAACUGGGAGCUGUUUGGACAGGCAACCCAUGGACUUGGGCCUGGUUUAAUGGGGGGCACAUUUGAGUUCAUUGACACAUGCCUCAAAGAAAAAAUCUAAGCACUUAAAUCCUCUACGAAGGAUAU